UGAUGGUCUGUUUGAUGGUCUGUUUGAUGGUCUGUUUGAUGUCUGGACCAUCAAACAGACCAUCAAACAGACCAUCAAAAAGACCAUCA
rnacentral:pre_miRNA from 1 species